rnacentral:sRNA from 1 species
AAGGAUACUACACGCAACAAUACGGCCAU